AAUCGUGGGGACAGUGGGCCUGCACGUGGACGGUGGCACAGAGGACACCCAGCGUGGUGGUUCUCCAACGAGCAGGAGAACCCUCUGGAAGCUCAAGCCCCGACAGUCACUCCUGCCACAGAAACGUCCCAGGAGCACUCUGGCAGAUGUUUGGUCCUUGCUUUCUUCCCGGCCAACAGAAUACCAACUCUGUCCAAGUGAUGGACAAGCCCAGAGGAAGGGGGUGAAUCAUGACAGGGAUCCCAGGCCUCUUUCCAGUCAUUGACCUAGCGGGUGAAGAGAUGGCAUUGGUGCUGCCGAGGGGCGCGGGAGGAAGAGGGAGGCAAAAGAAGACACGGC